AGCGUAUGAGAGGCACACCUGGCUGGGCGCAGUGGCUCAUGCCUAUAAUCCCAGCACUUUGGGAGACCAAGAACAUGUGCAUCCUCCAACUUACCUUGUGAGAAGUGGAUACACCAGGAAGUCAAUGAAACUCAUGCCUUUCUAAGUCUACUAUCUUUAUACCCUGAAAGUUCUGAGUUCAGCAAAGAAAUCUCCACUGCAUAUACCACCAAGCACAUUGGCUAACAGACAGUGAACAGAAGUGGAACUGAUGAGUACUACGAGGUUAGGAUCACACAAGUCAUUAAAUGGAAGAGCCUCUUAUCCAGAUCUGACUGACUCCAAAUGCCAUGCCAUCAUCUACUGCACCGUGCUGGCUCUAAUAAUGGUAUUAGUUCCAUUUCUUGAACUCAAGACCUGAAAUUCAUGUUUAUUAACCAACCUAUUGGGUCCAUGUAGAGGAAGCAGAGCUAUUGUCAGCAGCACUUUCUAACUAAGCACAGUACUGCAUGGGGACGGAGUACACUCUGGCUUGGCACAGCAGUCCUGGGCCUCUCCAUGCAGCAUCAUCACAGAGCAAGCUCUCAGACUGCCCCAAGAGUAAAUUCCUCACCAAAGAAAAUCAUCAAGCAUACCACCCUGUGGGAAACAUCUAAUAAGUCACGCUUUGGGAAACACUGUCCUCACUGGCAUGUAGUAUCCACAUAAUAUUAAACAGUCAUCUCAGGUGUUAAUGCUGAACAUGAGGAGCAUCUGUCUCUGCAAAAAGGCGAUGGCAACCAGCUCUGGCACAGUUGCUAGGACAGUGUCCAGGAUCUCUCGGGUCAUUUUUUGCCCUAGCCAAUAGGGUAAAAGCAUUUUGAGAACCAGGAGAAUGCCAAUGAGAACUGA